UACAGAGGUCUCAAGCGUUUGUUCGGAUUCAUUGGGCGUAAAGCGUGCGUAGGUGGUUUGUUAAGUCUGUUGUGAAAGCCCCGGGCUCAACCUGGGAAUGGCAAUGGAUACUGGCAAGCUAGAGUGCGGUAGAGGGUAGUGGAAUUCCCGGUGUAGCGGUGAAAUGCGUAGAGAUCGGGAGGAACACCAGUGGCGAAGGCGGCUACCUGGACCAGCACUGACACUGAGGCACGAAAGCGUGGGGAGCAAACAGG
rnacentral:rRNA from 1 species